rnacentral:rRNA from 1 species
CCUACGUGAGGCUGCAGUAGGGAAUCUUCCACAAUGGGCGAAAGCCUGAUGGAGCAACGCCGCGUGGGUGAAGAAGGUCUUCGGAUCGUAAAACCCUGUUGUUAGAGAAGAAAGUGCGUGAGAGUAACUGUUCACGUUUCGACGGUAUCUAACCAGAAAGCCACGGCUAACUACGUGCCAGCAGCCGCGGUAAUACGUAGGUGGCAAGCGUUAUCCGGAUUUAUUGGGCGUAAAGAGAACGCAGGCGGUCUUUUAAGUCUGAUGUGAAAGCCUUCGGCUUAACCGGAGUAGUGCAUUGGAAACUGGGAGACUUGAGUGCAGAAGAGGAGAGUGGAACUCCAUGUGUAGCGGUGAAAUGCGUAGAUAUAUGGAAGAACACCAGUGGCGAAAGCGGCUCUCUGGUCUGUAACUGACGCUGAGGUUCGAAAGCGUGGGUAGCAAACAGGAUUAGAUACCCGUGUAGUC